rnacentral:rRNA from 1 species
GUGGGGAAUCUUCCGCAAUGGGCGAAAGCCUGACGGAGCAAUGCCGCGUGGAGGCAGAAGGCCCACGGGUCGUAAACUCCUUUUCUCGGAGAAGAAGCAAUGACGGUAUCCGAGGAAUAAGCAUCGGCUAACUCUGUGCCAGCAGCCGCGGUAAGACAGGGGAUGCAAGCGUUAUCCGGAAUGAUUGGGCGUAAAGCGUCUGUAGGUGGCUCCUUAAGUCCGCUGUCAAAUCCCAGGGCUCAACCCUGGACAGGCGGUGGAAACUACUAAGCUGGAGUACGGUAGGGGCAGAGGGAAUUUCCGGUGGAGCGG